rnacentral:rRNA from 1 species
UACGAAGGGGGCUAGCGUUGCUCGGAAUCACUGGGCGUAAAGCGCACGUAGGCGGAUCUUUAAGUCAGGGGUGAAAUCCCAAGGCUCAACCUUGGAACUGCCUUUGAUACUGGGGAUCUCGAGUCCGGAAGAGGUGAGUGGAACUGCGAGUGUAGAGGUGAAAUUCGUAGAUAUUCGCAAGAACACCAGUGACGAAGGCGGCUCACUGGUCCGGUACUGACGCUGAGGUGCGAAAGCGUGGGGAGCAAACAGG